GCAAAGGUAGCAUAAUCACUUGCCCUUUAAUUGGGGGCUAGUAUGAAUGGACCCACUAUACUCUACUGUCUCAAUAAUACUUACGAAACUUUAUAUUUAAGUGCAGAAGCUUAAAUAUUAAUGAAGGACCAAAAGACCCUAUAGAGCUUAACAAAAUAUUAAACAUACAUAUUAUAAAUUUGUUUCAUUGGGGCAAUGACAGAAAUAAAACCUCUUCCAAAAAUCUUACCACAAAUUACUUAUAUCCCCUUACAUAAGACCAAGAACAAGCUACCUUAGGGAUAACAGUCUAAUUUUCCUCCAUAGCUCACAUAUACAGGAAAAUUUGGCAC
rnacentral:rRNA from 1 species